GCCAUGGAUUCGCCGCCAGAGUAAGACAUGCUGCCAAAACUUAGCCGAACAGGACCCCAAGGCAGGAACCUAAAAGCAGGACUGAAGCAGAGGUCCUGGAGGGAGGAAUGAAGACUUGUUCAACCUGCUCUCUUAUAUAACCAAAGUCUACAAGCCUGGGGGUAGCAAUGCCAACACUGGGCUGGGCCCUCCCACAUCAAUCAUUAAUCAAGAAAAUGUGGCUGGAAUGUGGUGGGUGGCCUUUAAUCUCUGCAACUGGACAGUGGCAGGCGGUGGUGGUGGCGAUCUUUAAUCCCAGCACUCCCAGAAGCAGAGGCAG